rnacentral:rRNA from 1 species
UGGGGAAUAUUGCACAAUGGGGGAAACCCUGAUGCAGCGACGCCGCGUGAAGGAUGAAGUAUUUCGGUAUGUAAACUUCUAUCAGCAGGGAAGAAAGUGACGGUACCUGACUAAGAAGCCCCGGCUAACUACGUGCCAGCAGCCGCGGUAAUACGUAGGGGGCAAGCGUUAUCCGGAUUUACUGGGUGUAAAGGGAGCGUAGACGGGAUAGCAAGUCUGAAGUGAAAGCCCGGGGCUCAACCCCGGGACUGCUUUGGAAACUGUUGACCUGGAGUGCUGGAGAGGCAAGUGGAAUUCCUAGUGUAGCGGUGAAAUGCGUAGAUAUUAGGAGGAACACCAGUGGCGAAGGCGGCUUGCUGGACAGUGACUGACGUUGAGGCUCGAAAGCGUGGGGAGCAAACA